GACGAACGCUGGCGGCGUGCUUAACACAUGCAAGUCGAACGGAAAGGCCCUGCUUUUGUGGGGUGCUCGAGUGGCGAACGGGUGAGUAACACGUGAGUAACCUGCCCUUGACUUUGGGAUAACUUCAGGAAACUGGGGCUAAUACCGGAUAGGCGCUCCUGCUGCAUGGUGGGGGUUGGAAAGUUUCGGCGGGUGGGGAUGGACUCGCGGCUUAUCAGCUUGUUGGUGGGGUAGUGGCUUACCAAGGGUUUGACGGGUAGCGGGCCUGAGAGGGGGACCGGGCACAUGGGGAGUGAGAUACGGCCCGGAGUCGUACGGGAGGCAGCAGUGGGGAAUAUUGCCCGAUGGGCGGAUGCCUGAUGCAGCAACGCCGCGUGCGGGAUGAUGGCCUGCGGGUUGAAGACCGCUUUCGCCUGUACCUAAGCGUUGGUGACGGUAAUGGAUAAAGAAGCACCGGCUAACUACGUG
rnacentral:rRNA from 1 species